AUUGUAUCUCUUGUUGGUUUUCAGUCUCUGUCAUUAUGUCUUAUUGUUGUCACCUGUGCCUUGUUGCAUGUUUGUGUAUGUAAGUCACCCUUCUCCUGAGUAAUUUGCUCAGUGUUUCCAGUGCCAUGACCAAGUCUAGGUCUAUCCCUUGCUGUGCCUCAUCUGGAGUCUAUAUCUACCUUGUGAAACUGCCUCAAAAGAGAUCCAGCUCUUCAUCUGAUUUCCCUCAGUCUGAUUUCCCUAAAUGUAAAAUAAGUGAUGGGAGACAACUGUGGAACUACAAAAUAGGACAUGACUCACUUGAAGCCAAACUUGUCCAGGGCC